ACGGAGGGGGAUAGCGUUAUUCGGAAUUACUGGGCGUAAAGCGCAAGUAGGCGGACUGGAAAGUCAGAGGUGAAAUCCCAGGGCUCAACCUUGGAACUGCCUUUGAAACUCUCAGUCUUGAGGUCGAGAGAGGUGAGUGGAAUUCCGAGUGUAGAGCUGAAAUUCGUAGAUAUUCGGAGGAACACCAGUGGCGAAGGCGGCUCACUGGCUCGAUACUGACUCUGAGGUGCGAAAGCGUGGGGAGCAAACAG
rnacentral:rRNA from 1 species